rnacentral:rRNA from 1 species
AUACGGAGGAUGCGAGCGUUAUCCGGAUUUAUUGGGUUUAAAGGGUGCGUAGGCUGUGCGUUAAGUCAGGGGUGAAAUGCCGUCGCUCAACGACGGAGCUGCCCUUGAUACUGGCGUGCUGGAGUACGGAUGCCGUUGGAGGGAUGAGUGGUGUAGCGGUGAAAUGCUUAGAUAUCACUCAGAACACCGAUUGCGAAGGCAUCUGACGAAUCCGUCACUGACGCUGAGGCACGAAAGCGUGGGGAUAGAACAGGAUUAGAUACCCUGGUAUUCCACGCCGUAAACGAUGAUGACUAACCGUCGGCGAUAGACAGCCGGUGGCCAAGCGAAAGCGAUAAGUCAUCCACCUGGGGAGUACGUCGGCAACGAUGAAACUCAAAGGAAUUGACGGGG